rnacentral:rRNA from 1 species
UUAAAUUGAGAGUUUGAUCCUGGCUCAGGAUGAACGCUGGCGGCGUGCCUAAUACAUGCAAGUCGAACGCGCAGCGAGAGGUGCUUGCACCUUUCAAGCGAGUGGCGAACGGGUGAGUAACACGUGGAUAACCUGCCUCAAGGCUGGGGAUAACAUUUG